GCGCUCUCUGUUGUUGACUUCCAUGACGUAUUACAUGAGGCUGUUUCUGUAGCAGCUGUACUGAGUCUUAACAGUUGGUUUACAAAUUAAACUAACGGGCUCAAAACACUGAGCAGCAACGCGGUAUGGUAACAUGUUGUUGAAGUUGUUUGUCUUUGGAGGGUAUGUCGCCGCCUUCACGGUACCAGGAUGGUGUUGUCGAGCGAAGGAGUACCCCACACGUGACGGACAGUGCUGCCCAAAGUGCCACGAAGCUGCUCAGAAACCCAAGUAAAGGUCAAAGAAGGAGGCCUGACUAAUGAUGUUGUCUGCAGUAGUGCAUGGAGAAAUCAUUACUUUAUGUUUCUACCUCUUAUUUGUUUUUUGUCAGUAACAGUUGUUGGGCUUGUGACUAGAGGCAGGAGAAUAACAGCUGGUAAGGUAUAACCUCUCCAUUUGUUUCUUAUAAAUGCUCAGUUCAUAGUUAAUUUGAGAACUGACAGAGAAGUUCUUCUUCUUCUUCUAAUAAUCCUGUGACAACACCACUUUACACAGCUUCUCUCUCAAAGCUGCUGCUCUGCAAUUUUUGCCACAUAGUGUUGCCUCAACUUGAAAACUGCUUACUAUUAAAAAUAUGAGGCUGGUUGUCAGAGCAUUCUCUGUUAGGCUCACAGAGCUAUCUGGCAGGUAGCUGUGGUCCAACAGCACACUGGUGACAGUCUUAGAUGGAGAUGUUGUGAGUCCUCAGCUGGAACCACAGCUGACAGAGACGCAGUUUUAUCCUGUGUUUCCUGGAGAGAUUUUUCACCAAAGUUUAAAGGGAAGCUUUGUCUUUUAAUAGGAUUAAAAGGACGUUUUUCCUCUCCACUGUGGCCUAGUGCUGCUCAUGGUGGGAACUGUUGGGUCUCUCUCUGUAAAUAUUUUAAAGAGUAUGGUCUAGACCUGCUCUGUAUGAAAAGUGCCUUGAGAUGACCUUUGUUGUGAUUCAGUGCUAUAUAAAUAAAACUGAACUGAAUUGAA